UAGGGAAUAUUGCACAAUGGGGAAAGCCCUGAUGCAGCGACGCCGCGUGAGCGAUGAAGUAUUUCGGUAUGUAAAGCUCUAUCAGCAGGGAAGAAAAUGACGGUACCUGACUAAGAAGCCCCGGCUAACUACGUGCCAGCAGCCGCGGUAAUACGUAGGGGGCAAGCGUUAUCCGGAUUUACUGGGUGUAAAGGGAGCGCAGGCGGUUCUGCAAGUCUGGUGUGAAAGCCCGGGGCCCAACCCCGGGACUGCAUUGGAAACUGCGGGACUUGAGUGUCGGAGGGGCAAGUGGAAUUCCUAGUGUAGCGGUGAAAUGCGUAGAUAUUAGGAGGAACACCAGUGGCGAAGGCGGCUUACUGGACGGUAACUGACGUUGAGGCUCGAAAGCGUGGGGAGCAAACAGGAUUAGAUACC
rnacentral:rRNA from 1 species